ensembl:lncRNA
UCAUCCCCGGCUCCUUUGCUGUUGGUUUGUUUUUUAAGAAGCUAGGGCUGGAGACGGCUCAGCAGUUAAAAGCAUUGGUUGCUUUUGCACAGGACCAAGGUUUAGAUCCCAGUACCCACAUUGAUUUACUGGAUAAGUAAAUAUUUUUACAAGAGGGAAAGAGGAAGAUCGUUAUAGAUGAAAAAGCAAUUGUGGAAAGCUGUGUGUAUGUGUGUGUGUCUGUGUCUGUGUGUAUGUCUGUGUGUCUGUGUGUGUGUCUGUUUGUGUGUGUGUCUGUGUGUGUCUGUGUCUGUGUGUACGUGUGUGUGUUUGUGUGUGUCUGUGUGUGUCUGUGUAUGUGUGUGUGUCUCUGUGUGUGUCUGUGUCUCUGUGUGAAACAAAGUGUGAUUAAAAGAAAUAGUAUAUAAAUGGUAUUUAACAUGAGGGUUUCAUAUUAGAAAACAUUCUUAGUGGCUUCAAUAAGAUUUUUUUUUUAAAAAGACUUCAAAGAGAUGUAAAGAGUGCGCCAUCCCUUGAGACAUUUAAAAUUAACCUGGACAAAGAACGAGAAUAUAUUUUGCAGAGAGCAGCCCUUUCUGACAAGCUAGUAGAUUAGCUUGAAUUGAUUUUUCCUCCUCUAAUUUUUUUUGACUAUCAGAAAUGCUGUUCUUAGGAGACAAAUGAGUUUUCCUUGAGCUUGAAUCUUCCGUCUUUAUUUUAAUCAAAUGAAAUAUGAUUUCUUAUGAAAAUAGUUUCCAAGCCAGUAACUCCGCAAGACAUAAUUCUAACUCUUGUUUAGACUAUAAAAUUUCAAAUCCCAGCUAGAGCACUAGUAAACAUAAUGAAUCAGAACCCGUCUUCCUCCCCUGUGUACCAGGAAAUGUCAGAGUGAAGCUCCCAAGAAAUGAACUCGAGGAGCACAGGAUGAAACCCAUGAGGGUGAUGCACUUGCUAGCCUACUGGGUUCCACAAGUUUGCUCUGGGUGCAUGUGAGGUCUACAAAGUCAUCAGUAAGAGAGAAAACACCACCUUACAUUAAGAUGAUGUCAACAAGUACAUUCUUGGAUCACAAAACAGUUUGGUUUUACGUUUCUGGGUGGGUUUGCUUUUUGUUUUUUGCUUUGUUUUCUUUUUUUAAUGUAUAGGAGUAUCCUAGCUGCACAUACACCUACAUGCCAGAAGAGGGCAUCAAGAUCACACUAUAAAUGGUUGUGAGUCACUAUGUGGCUGCUGUGGAUUGAACUCAGGUCCCCUGGGAAAACAGACAGUGCUCUUAACCGCUAAGCAAUCUCUCUAGUUCCCGGGUUGGCUUCUCGAGACGGGUCUUAAUGUGUAAUCCAGGCUGACCUGAUAUUCACUUACAAAAUCCAUGCUUGUUUAAACCUAUUAUAUAGUCAAGGCUGGCUGAGAAUUCAGGUUCCCAGUAAUCUCGCCCCAGCUUCUC